rnacentral:sRNA from 1 species
GCCGGUCGGAGGCGGUCGGCGGCGGUCGGCGGAGGUGUCUACCUCGCUGGUGAUGGGGCUGAACGCCACUGGCUUCCCGGCCUCCCGUCCGCUGCCUCGGUCCGAUUCUGCGUCUGCUUGCUGAGGAGACAGAUUAGGGGCGCGGAGUCUCUUCCCUUGAGUGCAUAGGUCCCUGUUGGUAGAGGGUUUGAGACCGCAUCGCCACAGCUGACGGCUGCUAGGGACUAAGAGCAGAAUACAUCGUUAGAAAUGAGUUGCACAAUUGAGAAGGCACUUGCUGAUGCUAAAGCUCUUGUUGAAAGAUUAAGAGAUCAUGACGAUGCAGCAGAAUCUCUGAUUGAGCAAACCACAGCUCUCAACAAGCGAGUAGAAGCCAUGAAACAGUAUCAGGAAGAAAUUCAAGAACUUAAUGAAGUUGCGAGACAUCGGCCACGGUCCACGUUAGUUAUGGGAAUCCAGCAAGAAAACAGACAAAUCAGAGAAUUGCAACAAGAAAACAAAGAAUUGCGUACAUCUCUGGAAGAACAUCAGUCGGCCUUGGAACUUAUAAUGAGCAAGUAUCGAGAACAAAUGUUUAGAUUGCUAAUGGCUAGCAAAAAGGAUGAUCCGGGUAUAAUAAUGAAGUUAAAAGAGCAGCACUCCAAGGUAAUCCAUUCUAUAAAUGUGACCUGAAAUGGAAAAGAGAGACGAUUGAUUAUCCUGUGUUCAGAUUUUUUUUGUAAAUGGCAUUUUAACAUGAUGUUGAAUGUUUCAUCUUUUUAAUUGACAUUUUCUCCUUUUUCUUAUUUUUCCAUUUCUUGCUUGUUAUAUAUAUCAUUUUCUGUUUGAUUUAUAACUCUCACUGUUUCUUAGAAACUU